UCUGUUUUGGCAGCUGGGGAUGACAGUUGAGGCAGCUGGGCAGAGGUUAGUUGUGAGCUAACGGGGGGCGGGAAACGAGGUAAGGAAGAAGAAUUAAGAAGAAAAGAAAAAGGUAAGCAGCUAGGCAAGUAAAUGGAAGAGAGAGAUGUCAGGUUGAAAGUAAGAAGGAAAGAGGAAAAGUCUCUUCCAUCAUUCCAAUAGAAAAGACCAGCUGUUGAAAAGCAAAGCACUUUCUGAACUUCCAUCUUCAACAAACCUGUUUCAGAUACAGCCCACACAACAGGUCCAGUUCUACCUACUUUCUGGCUUGUGUUUCCUAAGGCUGUUGCAUCUGAUGAGAGUUUCUUUUCAUCUACCAAGUCUUGAGUGUUGUCUAUGUCUCUCACAACCAUCCACAUGCCAGAGAUACCACCUACUCUGGGUAUCACUAUGCCUGACAUUUCAGCGGCAAUCUGUCCUAGAACUUUAUUCUCCUUACAUUCAUUUCCUUCAAAACCAAAGCAAGAGAAUUGUGAGAGAGAUGUGUAGGCCAUUUCUACCUAGCUGACUGUCAAAUAAAUAACAGUUUCAACUUA